CAGCACUGUCAUUCUUAUAAAUGAUUUUCAUGCACUGUGAUGGCAGAGACACCUGGCUCCAAGGCCAUUCCCAGAUUCCUUCUGAGAAAAGUACUCAAACUAGCAAGUCAGAAGGUUCCUGAAUAAUAUUACAAGGUUACUGAUGAGUUAUCUGGAUUUUAUCUAACACAUGUCACCAUUGGAAAGAGAUCAGCAGCAGCCUGCAGUUCUGAUUCACAAGCAUGGUGAUACCAAAUCUAAGCCUACUGUCGCUUAGAUAUGACUUCUGGCUAUAUUCUAUCUAGCCUUAAAGGCCCAAGUGGAAAGUCAUUACUCCUCGUGCAAUCAGUGAAGAAAGAAAGGCAUCUGGAAGACAUCUGAAUAGGGAGACAAAAGCAUAUUAAUGAAGAAAUUAGAGAUUUCUCCAUUCCAGUCCCUCAGAGAAGUUUCCUCUUACACCUACUAGGACACUGCAACAUCUCAUUUCUAAAUCUCUGUUCCGCACAACGUAUGUGAACCUGUGCACAGCAGCUGCAACCUACUGAUGUCUUAUGGAUGGAAUGUCUUCAGCAACAGACUUUUGAAACAGCUGGCAGAGGAUUUCAGCUAGCAAAGAGGCUGAGCUGGAGAUUUAGGCUAAAGAUUCAUUAUAGUGUUCUUUCAUUACCCAAUAAAUAAUCUUCUUAAGUUAGGUAUUUCUCCUACAGAAAGGCUGUCAAAUGUUUUUAAUCUCUGCUGCUAUGUAUACAAUAGUAUCAAACCAUUUAACCAAUGAGUAUUUUGAGAACACCACUUACAUAGCUCAUGGGCAUCAGUGACAUAGUCCCAUUAACAGAGGAGAGUCCAUAUCUAAGUGUUACUGUCAUCUUUUACUACAUACAGCUGUAGGAUAACAGAAAGUCAGAUAACAUCUGAUGGUAUUAACCCAUAUUUUAUCUGAAUAGUGGCUACAUAUUAUAAAGAGGUCAGUUGUUCUUCCAU
ensembl:lncRNA